GACAGAGGUGCCGAGCGUUAGGCGGAAUCACUGGGCUUAAAGCGUGUGUAGGUGGAUGCCUAAGUACCUUGUGAAAUCCCACGGCUUAACCGUGGAACUGCUUGGUAUACUGGGUGUCUUGAGCCAGCUAGGGGCUACCGGAACAAAUGGUGGAGCGGUGAAAUGCGUAGAUAUCAUUUGGAACGCCAAUGGUGAAAACAGAUAGCUGGGGCUGUGCUGACACUGAGACACGAAAGCCAGGGGAGCGAACGGG
rnacentral:rRNA from 1 species